AGCGAACGCUGGCGGCGUACUUAACACAUGCAAGUCGAACGAGGAUCUUCAGUGUAGCAAUACAUCGGAGGUCCUAGUGGCGCACGGGUGAGUAACACGUGGGUGACCUGCCCUUGAGCUCGGGAUACCCCCUCGAAAGGGGGGCUAAUACCGGAUACGUUCCUCGGUCGAAAGACUGGGGAGGAAAGGUGGCGCAAGCUGCCGCUCUUGGAGGGGCUCGCGGCCUAUCAGCUAGUUGGCGGGGUAACGGCCCACCAAGGCUAUGACGGGUAGCUGGUCUGAGAGGACGACCAGCCACACGGGGACUGAGACACGGCCCCGACUCCUACGGGAGGUAGCAGUGGGGAAUCUUGCGCAAUGGGCGAAAGCCUGACGCAGCGACGCCGCGUGA
rnacentral:rRNA from 1 species